rnacentral:rRNA from 1 species
UACGAGGGGGGGCGAGCGUUGUUCGGAUUUAUUGGGCGUAAAGAGCUCGUAGGCGGUUUGUCGCGUCGUCCGUGAAAACUCACAGCUUAACUGUGAGCUUGCGGUCGAUACGGGCAGGCUAGAGUUCGGUAGGGGAGACUGGAAUUCCUGGUGUAGCGGUGAAAUGCGCAGAUAUCAGGAGGAACACCGGUGGCGAAGGCGGGUCUCUGGGCCGAUACUGACGCUGAGGAGCGAAAGCGUGGGGAGCGAACAGG